rnacentral:rRNA from 1 species
GGUGAGUAACACGUGGAUAACCUACCUAUAAGACUGGGAUAACUUCGGGAAACCGGAUCUAAUACCGGAUAAUAUUUUGAACCGCAUGGUUCAAAAGUGAAAGACGGUCUUGCUGUCACUUAUAGAUGGAUCCGCGCUGCAUUAGCUAGUUGGUAAGGUAACGGCUUACCAAGGCAACGAUGCAUAGCCGACCUGAGAGGGUGAUCGGCCACACUGGAACUGAGACACGGUCCAG